AUUGAACGCUGGCGGCAGGCCUAACACAUGCAAGUCGAACGAGUGGCGGACGGGUGAGUAAUGUCUGGGACACUGCCUGAUGGGGGGGGAUAACUACUGGAACCGGUAGCUAAUACCGCAUACCAUCGGAUGUGCCCAGAUGGGAUUAGCUUGUAGGGGGGGUAAAGGCUCACCUAGGCGAAGAUCCCUAGCUGCUUGGAGAGGAUGACCACCAAAACUGGAACUGAGCAACGGCCAAGAUCCUUCGGGGGGGAAGCAGUGGGGAAUAUUGCACAAUGGGCGAAAGCCUGAUGCAGCAAUGCGGGGUGUAUGAAGUAGGCCUUCGGGUUGUAAAGUACUUUCAGCGGGGAGGCGUUACCCGCAGAAGAAGCAACGGCUAACUCCGUGCCAGCAGCCGCGGUAAUUC
rnacentral:rRNA from 1 species